rnacentral:rRNA from 1 species
UGGGGAAUUUUGCACAAUGGGCGAAAGCCUGAUGCAGCGAUGCCGCGUGAGUGAUGAAGGCCUUCGGGUCGUAAAUCUCUGUCGGCUGGGAAAAAUGAUCGUUUCCUAACACGAAGCGAGAGUGAUGGUACCAGCAAAGGAAGAGGUGGCUAACUCUGUGCCAGCAGCCGCGGUAAUACAGAGACCUCAAGCGUUGUUCGGAUUUACUGGGCGUAAAGCGGGCGUAGGUGGUUGCGUAAGUCAGAUGUG